rnacentral:rRNA from 1 species
AACGAACGCUGGCGGCAUGCCUAACACAUGCAAGUCGAACGAGACCUUCGGGUCUAGUGGCGCACGGGUGCGUAACGCGUGGGAAUCUGCCCUUAGGUUCGGAAUAACUUCGGGAAACUGAAGCUAAUACCGGAUGAUGACGUAAGUCCAAAGAUUUAUCGCCUAAGGAUGAGCCCGCGUUGGAUUAGCUAGUUGGUGAGGUAAAGGCUCACCAAGGCGACGAUCCAUAGCUGGUCUGAGAGGAUGAUCAGCCACACUGGGACUGAGACACGGCCCAGACUCCUACGGGAGGCAGCAGUGGGGAAUAUUGGACAAUGGGCGAAAGCCUGAUCCAGCAAUGCCGCGUGAGUGAUGAAGGCCUUAGGGUUGUAAAGCUCUUUUACCCGGGAUGAUAAUGACNGUACCGGGAGAAUAAGCUCCGGCUAACUCCGUGCCAGCAGCCGCGGU